UACGAAGGGUGCUAGCGUUGCUCGGAAUCACUGGGCGUAAAGCGCACGUAGGCGGAUCUUUAAGUCAGGGGUGAAAUCCCAAGGCUCAACCUUGGAACUGCCUUUGAUACUGGGGAUCUCGAGUCCGGAAGAGGUUGGUGGAACUGCGAGUGUAGAGGUGAAAUUCGUAGAUAUUCGCAAGAACACCAGUGGCGAAGGCGGCCAACUGGUCCGGUACUGACGCUGAGGUGCGAAAGCGUGGGGAGCAAACAGG
rnacentral:rRNA from 1 species